rnacentral:lncRNA from 10 species
CUGGAGUGCAAUGAAUGGCGCGAUCUCGGCUCACUGCAACCUCCACCUCCCAGGUUCAAGUGAUUAUCCUGCCUCAGACUCUCGAGUAGCUGGGAUUACAGUAUCCCAGUCGACAUCAGUGACAGUGAUAUGAUGCUGAACAUCAUCAACAGCUCUAUUACUACCAAAGCCAUCAGUCGGUGGUCAUCUUUGGCUUGCAACAUU